GAUGAACGCUGGCUGUGUGCCUAAUACAUGCAUGUCGAGCGAAGUUGCUUCGGUAACUUAGCGGCGAAUGGGUGAGUAACACGUACUCAACGUACCCUUUUGAUUGGGAUAGCAAGUGGAAACAUUUGAUAAUACCAAAUACGCAUUAUUUUCGCAUGAAGAUAAUGUAAAAGGAGCUUUACGGCUUCGCAAAAGGAGCGGGGUGCGCAACAUUAGCUAGUUGGUGAGGGUAAUGGCCCACCAAGGCGAUGAUGUUUAGCGGGGUUGAGAGACUGAACCGCCACACUGGGACUGAGAUACGGCCCAGACUCCUACGGGAGGCAGCAGUAGGGAAUAUUCCACAAUGGACGAAAGUCUGAUGGAGCGACACAGCGUGCAGGAUGAAGGCCCCAUGGGUUGUAAACUGCUGUGGUAAGGGAAGAAAAAGUUCUAUAGGAAAUGAUAGGACCUUGACGGUACCUUAUUAGAAAGCAACGGCUAACUAUGUGCCAGCAGCCGCGGUAAUACAUAGGUUGCAAGCGUUAUCCGGAAUUAUUGGGCGUAAAGCGUCUGUAGGUUGUUUGUUAAGUCUGACGUCAAAACUUGGGGCUCAACCCCAAAUCGCGUUGGAUACUGGCUUACUAGAGUUAUGUAGAGGUUAGCGGAAUUCCUUGUGAAGCGGUGGAAUGCGUAGAUAUAAGGAAGAACACCAAUAUGGCGAAGGCAGCUAACUGGACAUACACUGACACUGAGAGACGAAAGCGUGGGGAGCAAACAGGAUUAGAUACCCUGGUAGUCCACGCCCUAAACGAUGAUCAUUAGCUGAUGGAAAAUUCAUCGGCGCAGCUAACGCAUUAAAUGAUCCGCCUGAGUAGUACGUUCGCAAGAAUAAAACUUAAAGGAAUUGACGGGGAUCCGCACAAGCGGUGGAGCAUGUGGUUUAAUUUGACGAUACGCGUAGAACCUUACCCACUCUUGACAUCUUCUGCAAGGCUAUAGAGAUAUAGUGGAGGUUAACAGAAUGACAGAUGGUGCAUGGUUGUCGUCAGCUCGUGUCGUGAGAUGUUCGGUUAAGUCCUGCAACGAGCGCAACCCUUGUCCUUAGUUACUACAUUAAGUUGAGCACUCUAAGGAGACUGCCCGAGUAAUUGGG
rnacentral:rRNA from 2 species